UGCUUCAAAUCCAUGUACUUGAACAUGCCAUGAACACACAGUAAAUAUCGGGUUGUCUUCCAUAAUUUGACUCAGAGUACCGGAGUCAAAAUGAACUUUCUCAACUU